rnacentral:rRNA from 1 species
GCAAAUAACCUGCCUCAAAGAUGGGGACAACAGCUCGAAAGGGUUGCUAAUACCGAAUGUUGUAUAGAAAGGGCAUCCGUGAUUAUACUAAAGAUUUAUCGCUUGAGAGGGUUGCAUCCGAUAGGCAGUUGGCGGGUAAAGCCCACCAAACCGACGAUCGGUAACCGGUCUGAGAGGAUGAACGGUCACAUUGGAACUGAGACACGGUCCAGACUCCUACGGGAGGCAGCAGUGGGGAAUAUUCCACAAUGGAGGGAACUCUGAUGGAGCGACGCCGCGUGAGUGAAGAAGGGUUUAGGCUCGUAAAGCUCUUUUCUUGCAGAUGAAUGACUUAUUAGAUAAGUAGGGACAGUAUGUAAGGAAUAAGCCACGGCUAACUACGUGCCAGCAGCUGC